UAAAAACAAUAAAAGUCUAUGAUUUUCAGAAAAAAUUGUGUAUUAUUUUUUGAGUGCAAUUGAAAAAAAUGUUUGCUAAUUUAGAAAAUGUUCAUGCAUUUCAAGAAAUGUCCUAAAAUUUUAAAGACAUAAUAUGAUCAGCACCAUUGGAGAUUUAAUUAUUUUUCUCCCGUUCCAAUGCACGGGCCCUUUUGCUAGUAUAAGAUUUAUAUUUCUUCUCCUAUCUUAUCUCUACGGGCGCUUAUUGUCCUUUAAAAUAUGUACACAAUGUAUACACAGCAAUGAUCCCACCAAUCCUCUCUUUCUAAUCCUAUUACGCUCCCCUUCUAAGGUCAGCCUACAAAACAUGGUCAUGCCCAGCUACAGUCCAAGCUCUUGCGGUGGGGCCGCUUGUCAAAAUACACUAAUUAAUCAAAAGAAAAUUAGAUGAAUUGGGUUUCUAAUAUGAAACGACAAGCAUAAGUUUGUACUAAGCUUUGAAAGAGAAGGCGUCUCUUUC
rnacentral:lncRNA from 1 species